CCCAUUCUCUGGCUGGAGACACAGAUGGCCUCAAAUGAGAGAGAUGCUAUAUCGUGGUACCAAAAGAAGAUUGGAGCAUAUGAUCAGCAGAUAUGGGAAAAGUCAAUCGAACAGACUCAGAUUAAGGGCUUCAAAAACAAACCAAAAAAGAUGGGUCAUAUAAAGGCAGACUUGAUUGAUGUUGACUUAAUCAGAGGCUCAACAUUUGCCAAAGCCAAACCUGAAAUUCCCUGGACAUCUCUGACUCGGAAGGGGCUUGUUCGAGUUGUAUUUUUUCCCUUUUUCAGCAAUUGGUGGAUUCAGGUUACCUCUUUAAGAAUCUUUGUUUGGCUGCUACUGCUUUACCUCAUGCAAGUUAUAGCACUCGUGUUCUAUUUUAUGAUGCCUAUUGUGAAUGUAAGUGAAGUACUUGGACCCUUGUGCCUUAUGUUACUCAUGGGAACUGUCCACUGUCAAAUUGUGUCUACUCAGAUAACAAGGCCAUCGGGAAACAAUGGAAAUCGGAGAAGAAGAAAAUUACGAAAAACUGUAAAUGGUGAUGGGAGCCGAGAAAAUGGAAAUAACUCCUCUGAUAAAGCCAGAGGAACAGAAACUUUGGAAUCUGCACCCUUUAAUGGUGGUUUUUGGGGGACUCUCUUUGGCAACAGGAUGAAAAGAGUAAAAUUAAUAUGUAGCAAAGGGACAGAGACUGACAAUGACUCAGGUUGUCUGCAUCCUAUCAUCAAGAAGAGACAGUGUCGACCAGAGAUUAGAAUGUGGCAAACAAGAGAGAAAGCAAAAUUUUCAGAUGGAGAAAAGGGAUGCAGGGAGCCGUUUGGGCGUUUGGGCAAUGGGAUUUCAGAUGAUCUGUCAAGUGAGGAUGAUGGUGAAGCCCGGACACAGAUGAUGACGCUGCGGAGGAGCGUGGAAGGGGCCUCAAGUGACAACGGCUGUGAAGUUAAGAAUAGGAAAUCAAUACUUUCAAGGCACCUAAACACUCAGGUAAAGAAGACCACUUCCAAGUGGUGUCCCGUUGUGCGGGAUUCAGAUAGUCUGGCUGAAUCAGAGUUUGAAUCGGCAGCCUUCAGUCAGGGCUGUAGAUCUGGCAUGAGUGGUGGCUCUCGAAGCCUCAACAUGUUGAGAAGAGACUCGGAGAGCACCCGUCAUGACUCGGAGACAGAGGAUAUGUUAUGGGAUGACCUGCUGCACGGCCCUGAGUGCCGGUCGUCUGUCACCAGCGAUAGUGAGGGGGCCCACGUUAACUCCCUUCACUCAGGGACCAAACGUGACCCCAAGGAGGAUGUUUUUCAGCAGAACCAUUUAUUCUGGCUUCAGAACUCAAGUCCUGCCUCUGAUCGAGUUAGUGCAAUAAUCUGGGAAGGGAAUGAGUGCAAAAAGAUGGAUAUGUCUGUGUUGGAAAUAAGUGGCAUCAUCAUGAGCAGGGUUAAUGCGUAUCAGCAAGGAGUAGGUUAUCAGAUGCUGGGAAAUGUCGUCACCAUCGGAUUAGCAUUUUUCCCUUUUUUACAUCGACUGUUCCGAGAGAAGAGUCUUGACCAGCUAAAGUACAUCUCAGCUGAGGAGAUCUUGACUCUCUUUUGUGGGGCACCACCUGUUGCACCUAUUAUUAUCUUGUCUGUAAUUAAUUUUUUUGAACGACUGUGUCUUACUUGGAUGUUUUUUUUCAUGAUGUGUGUGGCGGAGAGAACAUACAAACAGAGAUUUUUAUUUGCAAAACUCUUCAGCCAUAUUACUUCUGCCAGGAAAGCUAGGAAAUAUGAAAUACCUCAUUUCAGACUUAAAAAGGUGGAGAACAUUAAGAUAUGGUUAUCACUGCGUUCCUUUCUAAAGAGACGGGGCCCACAGCGAUCAGUGGAUGUGGUUGUGUCUUCUGUCUUCCUACUGACACUUUCCAUUGCUUUCAUUUGUUGUGCCCAGGUUCUCCGGGGACAUAAAACUUUCCUAAAUGAUGCUUAUAAUUGGGAGUUUUUGAUCUGGGAAUCAGCUUUACUACUUUUCUUACUGCGCUUAGCCUCACUGGGGUCUGAAACCAAUAAGAAAUACAGCAAUGUCUCAAUAUUACUUACUGAACAGAUUAAUUUAUAUCUUAAAAUGGAAAAAAAGCCGAAUAAGAAAGAACAGCUUACUCUAGUAAACAAUGUAUUAAAGCUAUCCACCAAGUUAUUGAAAGAGCUGGACACACCAUUUAGACUCUAUGGACUGACAAUGAAUCCCUUGAUCUACAAUAUCACACGAGUAGUUAUCCUUUCUGCUGUCUCAGGUGUUAUAAGUGAUCUUCUAGGAUUUAAUAUAAGACUGUGGAAAAUUAAGUCAUAAGCUGAGUCAUGUGCCCGGACUUUCUCCCCUUGCUGGCAUCAGUGCUUAACCCAUUAAGGAAAGAGAUGACUGCAAACCCAUGAGACACCCACCUGCUUAUUCACACGGAGAGGUGCCCUCAGCUCUACCUAAUCUAACGAAUGGUGUUUUCAGAGGAACAGAGCCUUUUCCAACUGGGUCCCCAGAAUGCAGAAGAGUACCUGACCCCAUAAUAGAGACAAGUAGAAAAGUUCUAAAUACCAGGAUGUCCUCCAAAGUGUAAGCUUACGGGUCUGUGUUUUUAAUUUUGGUUCAUUGUAUCUAGAGGUAAGUGAACCUGUGCACUGUAAAAAUAACCCUCUUUCAAAUUAAUGAAAUUCAUUUUCAAAAUUUUUUAGUCUACACACUCCAUCAUGGGCCAAAUGGGUCUUACUCCCAAAUAUAGUGUAUGAUUUGGAAUUAUCAAGAAGUAAAUUCAUUAAACUUAAUCUCAUCUAUACAGCUGUUGACUAGUUUGGUCAUUUAAAGUAAUCCUUUGCUCCUUGCAGUUAUUGGUGCCCAUCUUGAAUAAUGAAGUUUGAAUUUCACAAAUGUGAAAUAAUUCCAUUCCUUUCCUGCAGCGCACCCUGAGCCUAUAUGCUGUAGUAAGGUAUUACUCAAGGUAACAAAUAGUUGUUUAUUAAGGACAAAAUAAGCCUCUUGAUUUGCUAUAAAAAUUUGCUAAUAGUUCUGCUUGACUUUAAUGCAAACAUUGUAAAAUAGACAAAUACCCACAGGAUUCUUUGGAAAAAUAUAGGUUCAGGCUAAAUUAAAGCACUUGGCUGUGUUUUUGUAUUUUAAUGUGUAUGUGAGAAAGGUUCAGAGUUCUUUGGCAGAACUCUACUAAAUUCUACUCUCAAUAAGCCUUCAUACUCGCUUCUUACACUUAAGGCCCUACUUGCACAGAAACUUUGAAAACAGAUCCAAGUUAGUGGAUAUCUUAAACUAAUUCAGUCAACUGAAGCAAAGAUUAUAGAGUUCAUGUCAUAAUUAUGGCGUGCUUUAAACCAGUCAUUGUAUUGCUGAUAAACCUUAAUAGCAUAAGCAGUAAAGAGCUGCCUAAAUAAACAAAUCUGCUAUUGUUUAAAAAGCACAAGUAGUUCUUAGCGCUGGAGCAUGCCAGGAUGAUGUAAGAAGUUGCUCUGAUAUAUUCUUCACGCCAGACUGAAUCAUCACGUUUCGUGACUGAAGUCUGUUUACACCAGUGUUCCUUAGUUCCUGGAGCUCACUCUGGACUAAGCUCAAGCUUAAACACAUCUCUGUGGAGGUCGGUAGUUAAGACUGUCACACCGUUUAACUAAUUUGAGUAGUCCUUGCUUUCUUAAAACCCAAUUCUUUUUGAAUGUUGGACACAUUGUUUAAUGUGAAGCUCUUCAUCAGUUCACCUUGAAAAGCAUUUGACUUUCUCUACAUGAGAAUAUCUGACUAUUAAAAAAGGAAAUAACCAAGGUAUGCUCAGGUAGAAAUAAAAAGCCACAUGCUUUUCUGUGUCCAAGACUUCUGAAAUAGGAGUUGACUCUGUGCAAAAGCUACGUGGCCCCAGAAACUUAAUGUAUGGGGGUUAGAAGACAAUAUUACAGGCUCUUACUCACUAAUCUCCCUAGGGAGACAACGUGAUAGCAUCCCAGAACUUUUUUGCUGUUACGACCAAUAAGAAAAUAUGUCCACUGAAACAGCAACAAAAUGAUUUUGCUGCCACUCUGCAGGCUUUGCUACAACACACAUCUCCAUGGUAGGGCUCGGGGUUUGGAGUUUAUUUUCAGUGUGAGUUCAGUAAUGGCAGGCGGGAAUUAAUUUUUCUCCUCAAGAGUAUUCAGUUAACCAUGGUCUUGAGCUAGGUUUUAGGCAUUAUUCAUUCCAAGAAUUUCAGUGAAAUCAAGUCAAAAUACUUCACUCUACAAGUACGACCUAGAGUAGAUAAAAUGAUUUAAAAAUAAUGUGAAAUGCCACAGUCUGAUGAAAUAGAGUUUGUGACCUUGUGGUAACUGGACUUACACAGCUAUGUCCAUUAGAAAUGUCUGAUGACAAUUUCCAAUAAGACAAGUCCUUUUCUUUCCCUGACAGUGUAAGAAAGGAUUUUUGGGGGGUAGCAAAUUAUUUAUGCAAAGCUGUUUUCCUUACAGUGAAAGGUAUUAAGUAGGUAUAAUGAUAUUCAACUCCGACUAAUCUUGAGCUUUACAUAUAGAUAAGUAUAGCUAUACAGGUAAAGUCAUCAUUGUAAGAGUCUUUCUGAUUGUAGGACUCUGAAUAUUUGUUACUUGUAGGGAUAAAAAUCUAUUUGAGGACUCAGACCAUGAUGAGAAUUAGCUCCACAAAUAGAAAAAGCAACAUUACAUAAACCUGACAGUAAAAGAAAUGCAGGCCAUGAACUGAUUUUUGUUUUUCUUUUUUUCUUUUAAUAUCUAUAUAAAAAAUAACGAGCGAUUUACAGGUCUCUUUCUCUAAUCAGAACCUCAAGUGUAUAUAUAAAGGUACUGUACAAUAUAUAAACAUUUACAACCAGUACAUCCGUAUUUUGCUUAGCAUUCCAAGGCCACAUUGCCAAGUCAGUACAAAAUCAGUACAGUGACAGGUUACUUAGAAAGGAAAGAGCCACAUCAGACUGACAACAGAUGACAUCAAAGUUAUGUCGCAGUUAACAAAAAUUGGAUUUUUAUCACUAAUUGUGGACUAUAGGGAAAAUAAAUCAUUUCUGUGAUACUAAAUUCUUAGCAUUUAUCAAGCCUUCUAAUUCUUCUCUAUUCAAGUAGUUACAAUAGGUGGGUAAAUAUAGUUCUGGAUGGAAAGGGGAUUUCAGAAAUCUCACUCUGGGAAGCAUGUCUUAUCUACAGGGGCUGAUUUAGUUGUUAUAAUUAUUAAAGAAUUUCACAGUCAGACUCUGAGAGGGAAGGACCUGGACAUGAUGUGUUUCACAAUAACAAGAUGAACCCACGGUGACAGAACAGGUGUGUUCAAAUACUCCAGAAAAUGGUUUUAUUCUGAGAAUGUUCCUUUAUUUAUAGAUGCUACUGAAUGCUGCUUCCGGGGGCUGAGAAACCCGGAUCUAUUUUAUGGGGCUAAAAACUGUCUCUACCUUCCAACAAACAUCUCUAAUUAGACUUUAGGAAAGAAUUCGGAAAAUCUGUACAAGCUAAGCAGAUGUUUACUCUCCCUUUCUUCCUUGCAAAUAGGUUAAUGUAGCUAGGUAUUAAAAUCAAGAUCCAGCAAGGACUGUCUACCGCCACGUUUGUCCUCACUUGCUUGUGAGCCGGUCUCACACAGGUUCUGCUUCUCAACACUCGAACUCGUACAGCGGCUGCCAGAUGAGUUGGUGCCUCAUCUGGCAACGGACCGUGAAACUGGUUUCAUGAUUAAGUCCCUCUUCAAAUAUGUAUUAUGUAUUAAUGACUAAUGACUUAGUAGUUGGUUCAACCAAAAUAUCCAGAAAGAGAAAUUUGGUAGUUUUUCUUCAGAUAGCAAUAAGCAAUAUUUCCACAUGCUUCUUUGUGGUUUCAUAAUAAAAUAAAUGAAAUAAAAGAGUGAUCUGAGAUGCUAUAACACAUUAGAGUUGGAUAACACAGCAGGAGGUGAACUCUUAAUCAACUGAAGUGCUUUCUCAUUUGAACGUUCAUUUGUAAAUAACAUCUUUAACAGUUAUUUGAAAUACCUUAUCCGGCCGAAUUAAAAUAAACAGCCAUAAGAAAGUCAGUAUUUGACUACAUUUUUUUUUUCUUUCCAGUAGUGAUGUUUGGGAGUUUUAUUUUUAAACGGGGACAUCAUCAGUAAGCUGUUUGUUAGGAGAGGCAACUGCCAUCUUUAAUGAUGAGUUAACAAUCUCUUCUUCUGCAAGGGCUCAAAUAUUUCUCUCUGUAAACAAACAUGCAACAUGCUAUUGAGAAUAUCAACUUCCAAGCCAAACCUAGUUUUUUCGUUACUGUGGAAAUAUCUGCGUGAGAAGGAUAAAAUAGACAUGAUACAGUAGAUAACUUGGCACAAAUAUAAAGUGAGUUGUGACCACGUUGUGAAUAUCAACAUGUCAUUUGUUCAGACACUCAUGAAGACGAGCUGGGCGGCCUGAGCCGGGCGUGUCCGAUGAGCCCGUGGGUGCGGCUCCUUCCUGAGCGCAAGGCGGGCAGCCAGCCAGGGGGACAGUGGGUUCUUAGCAAUCCUGCAGGCCCUUCAUGCAGCCUAGGUCACAGUCGCUUCUCGGCCACACCAGUAGUGCCUGUGGCUCUGCUUGCACUUGGCACCUUCCAAGGCCCUGGAGUUAUUGGUGUUUUCUUAGCUGGAGAACCGCUUUCAGGCACGAUGUCCUUUAAUUCUUCUGCCUUUUCACAUAUCUGAACUCUCAUCAAAGAUUCUUCAAUUACUGGCACACGAGACUCUUCAAAUAUGAAAGCAGAAGGUGAAGAUGGGUGAAAUGGGGACUGUUCAUCAUAAAUCACAUUGGA